CCUACGGGAGGCAGCAGUAGGGAAUCUUCCACAAUGGACGAAAGUCUGAUGGAGCAACGCCGCGUGAGUGAAGAAGGGUUUCGGCUCGUAAAACUCUGUUGUUAAAGAAGAACAUAUCUGAGAGUAACUGUUCAGGGAUUGACGGUAUUUAACCAGAAAGCCACGGCUAACUACGUGCCAGCAGCCGCGG
rnacentral:rRNA from 1 species